rnacentral:rRNA from 1 species
UACGUAGGGUGCGAGCGUUAAUCGGAAUUACUGGGCGUAAAGCGUGCGUAGGCGGUUCGUUAAGUUCGUUGUGAAAGCCCCGGGCUCAACCUGGGAAUGGCAAUGGAAACUGGCGGGCUGGAGUAUGGCAGAGGGGGGUGGAAUUCCGCGUGUAGCAGUGAAAUGCGUAGAUAUCAGGAGGAACACCAGUGGCGAAGGCGGUGCUCUGGGCCGGAACUGACGCUGAGGAGCGAAAGCGUGGGGAGCAAACAGG